rnacentral:rRNA from 1 species
CGGAUAAAAGUUACUCCGGGGAUAACAGGCUUAUUGCGCCCAAGCGUCCACAGCGACGGCGCAGUUUGGCACCUCGAUGUCGGCUCACCGCAUCCUGGGGGUGAAGAAGCUCCCAAGGGUUUGGCUGUUCGCCAAUUAAAGCGGUACGCGAGCUGGGUUCAGAACGUCGUGAGACAGUUCGGUCUCCUAUCUGCUGUGGGCGACGAAUAUUGAGAAAACUCAUCCCUAGUACGAGAGGACCGGGAUGGACAAACCUCUAGUGUAUCGGUUGUUCUGCCAAGGGCAUUGCCGAGUAGCUACGUUUGGUGCGGAUAAGCGCUGAAAGCAUCUAAGUGCGAAGCCGUUUUCAAGAUUAAUAUUCAUUAUAGAUUCCUUGUAGACGACGAGGUUGAUAGGCACUAAGUGGAAGCUUGGCAACAAGUGGAGCUGAGGUGUACUAAUAUAUCGAGCA